rnacentral:rRNA from 1 species
GACAGAGGGUGCAAACGUUGUUCGGAAUUACUGGGCGUAAAGCGUGUGUAGGCGGCCGCGUAAGUCGGAUGUGAAAGCCCUGGGCUCAACCCAGGAAGUGCACUCGAUACUGCGUGGCUUGAGUACUGGAGAGGUUGGUGGAAUUCUCGGUGUAGAGGUGAAAUUCGUAGAUAUCGAGAGGAACACCGGUGGCGAAGGCGGCCAACUGGACAGAUACUGACGCUGAGACACGAAAGCGUGGGGAGCGAACAGG